GUGCCGUGAGGUGUCGGGUUAAGUCCCAUAACGAGCGUAACCCUUGUCCUUAGUUACCAGCACGUUAUGGUGGGCACUCUAAGGAGACUGCCGGUGACAAACCGGAGGAAGGUGGGGAUGACGUCAAGUCAUCAUGGCCCUUACGGCCUGGGCUACACACGUGCUACAAUGGUCGGUACAAAGGGUUGCCAAGCCGCGAGGUGGAGCUAAUCCCAUAAAACCGAUCGUAGUCCGGAUCGCAGUCUGCAACUCGACUGCGUGAAGUCGGAAUCGCUAGUAAUCGUGAAUCAGAAUGUCACGGUGAAUACGUUCCCGGGCCUU
rnacentral:rRNA from 1 species